rnacentral:lncRNA from 1 species
CGAGACACACUGUACUCAAACAAACAUCUUACUGGCAUUAGCUCUUACCCAUCACCCAUGGCGAAGUGCCAGAAGCACGUGAGCAUCCAAGGACUUUGGCUGCUUUCCAUGGUUCUUCUUGCAUCCUCUGUUGUUGGUGCACGCAUAAUAAAUGGUAAACAAUGAAUUAUACCUAUUUUCUUUUGAUGUAAAUAUAUACUAUAUAGCGUUCAUCUUUUCUGACAAAAGUGCAAUGUAACUCGAUCGAUUGUAGGGCAAACCAAAGAGGACAUCAACACAAAGAGUGUGAACAUAAACACAACGAAGUCAGCAAGCUACAUUGGCAGCGGUGGAGUACUUAAUCAAGGUCCAUGCGUUGUGAAAAAUCAUUUCUUCUGGUGCGGAAACAUUGGCUAUCCGACAAUGUCAGAGUGCUUGAGGAAUUGCCGCCAUUUGAUCUAAUAAGUGGUUUACUUUUCUGCUUCUCAUAGAUGGAGAUCAUGAAGAUGUUAAUCUAAUCAUGCAUACAAAUAUGUACCAAAUGAUAAACUAUAAUAAACUAAUUUAUGCGUGAUUAAGGGUUUCUUCUCCUACGUACAACUAAAAAGAGUAAAAGUAAAAGGUGGACAUUUUUUGGUGCAGCAAAUUUUUUCGUCCGUGUGCCGUUCCCCACCUGCGAACGCGACCC